UCCCCAGACUCCUACGGGAGGCAGCAGUGGGGAAUAUUGCACAAUGGGGGAAACCCUGAUGCAGCGACGCCGCGUGGGCGGCGAAGCGCUCCGGCGCGUAAAGCCCUGUCAGCAGGGAAGAACAAAGACAGUACCUGACCAAGAAGCCCCGGCUAACUACGUGCCAGCAGCCGCGGUAAUACGUAGGGGGCAAGCGUUAUCCGGAUUUACUGGGUGUAAAGGGAGCGUAGGCGGUUUAGCAAGUCAGAAGUGAAAGCCCGGGGCUUAACUCCGGGACUGCUUUUGAAACUGUUGAACUAGAUUGCAGGAGAGGUAAGUGGAAUUCCUAGUGUAGCGGUGAAAUGCGUAGAUAUUAGGAGGAACACCAGUGGCGAAGGCGGCUUACUGGACUGUAAAUGACGCUGAGGCUCGAAAGCGUGGGGAGCAAACAGGAUUAGAUACCCGCGUA
rnacentral:rRNA from 1 species